rnacentral:rRNA from 1 species
UACGUAGGCAGCAAGCGUUGUUCGGAAUUACUGGGCGUAAAGAGUGUGUAGGCGGUGCUCUAAGUCUGUUGUGAAAUCUCCCGGCUUAACCGGGAGGGUGCGGCGGAAACUGGAGUGCUUGAGGGUGGGAGAGGUAAGCGGAAUUCCUGGUGUAGCGGUGAAAUGCGUAGAUAUCAGGAGGAACACCUGUGGUGUAGACAGCUUACUGGACCACUUCUGACGCUGAGACACGAAAGCGUGGGUAGCAAAACAGG